GACCUGACAUUGCCUUCGCUGUAGGGCAAGCGUCCCAGUUUUGUCAAAAUCUUGGUGAUGGACACUGGAACGGUGUAAAGAGGAUCUUUGCCUACCUAGCUGGAUCUACCCACCUUGGCCUUUGUUUUGAUGGACAGCAGAGUAACAAUCUAAUAGGAUUCACUGACUCAGACUUUGCAGGGAACAUGGAUAACCGCCGGUCAACCAGUGGCUUCGUUUUCCUGUUUAAUGGAGCCCCAGUAUCAUGGAGCAGCAAACUUCAACAAUGCGUCUCCCUUUCAACAACCGAAGCCGAAUUCGUGGCAGCCAGCGAAACGUCAAAAGAAGCUAUUUGGCUGCAGCAACUUCUGAAAGAAGUAAAAGGCGAUGACAUCGGUCCAGUUCCUAUACUCUGUGAUAACCAAGGAGCCAUCCGACUAAUCAAGAAUCCAGAGUUCCACCAACGCACCAAGCAUAUAGCGGUCAAGUAUCACUUCGUUCGACACCAACAGCUCAACGGCAACAUCGAGGUGUCAUAUGUCUCAACGGAAAACCAGUUGGCUGAUAUUCUGACAAAACCAGUUCCAGGACCUCGGUUCAUUCUCCUGCGUGAACAGAUUGGAAUAAAAUCACUUCCUCAAACCCACACAGUUUGAGAGGAGGUGUUGGAGAUAUUGUCAAACCGUGGUGGUUGCGUAACCCUACCCAACUGUUUAGCACCACCUUCUCUGUUCUCAUCCCUUUAAGUGCUGUCAAUGUCUGAUGUGUAUGACUGUCUGGUGCUCUACUUGAUGAUAGUGAUUUGUACUGACAGACAUGUCGUAACUAGAUAUAAAGACUGCUUUCCUGUACGGCGAAAUAGAAGAAGAAAUUUAUCUCGAGCAACCCGAAGGAUAUAUCCAAGCCGGAAAAGAAAAUUCCGUAUGCCGCCUCCAGAAAUGUUUGUAUGGCCUCAAACAAGCUUCACGAGUCUGGAACCGUCAUUUUGAUAGUUUCCUCAAACGUUUUGGCCUCCAAUCAAGUGACGCCGAUCCGUGCCUUUAUUUCCGUCGAAACAACAAAGAAGUUCUUUUCGUCCUAAUCUGGGUUGAUGAUGGAUUGGUUAUCAGUGUUGACGGGAAUCUGGUAAAACAAGUAAUUGAAUAUUUGAAGAAAUAUUUUGAAAUGCGGUGCACCCCUGCUAAUCAUUUUGUUGGCAUCUCCAUUACAAGAAACAGAAGAGACAAAAUUCUUUACUUAUCCCAACCAGAUUACAUUAAGAAAAUUCUAAAGAAAUUCCACAUAAUAGACUGUCAUCCUAAAAACCUUCCAGCUGAACCCGGAUGUCGUCUUAUUCAAAAUGUUGGUGAAGACCCCCUAGACAAUGUGCCAUAUAGAGAGGCAAUUGGAAGCCUGCUAUACUUGACAAUUAUAUCUAGGCCGGACAUCGCAUUUGCAGUUGGUCAAGCGGCACAGUUCUCUGAAAAACCCCAGAAACAUCAUUGGAUUGCAGUUCGAAGAAUUUUUUCAUACCUUAAAGGGACGCAAGACUAUGGCAUACGCUUUGGCAUCAAUCACGAUCGUCUUAAAAGAUACUCAGAUUCAGAUUUCGCCGGUGACUUAAAUUCCCGAAGAUCAACCACGGCUUUCAUCUUCAUCCUAAAUGGUGGGCCAGUAGCAUGGACCAGUCGCAGACAACCAUGUGUUACAUUGUCCUCAACAGAAUCGGAAUUUGUGGCUGCGUGUGAAGCCGCCAAAGAGGCAAUCUGGUUAAAACGCUUGAUGAAGGAUGUCAUACCGGAAUGGGAUGAAACUAUUCCUCUAAUGUGCGACAAUCAAUCUACUAUCCAGCUCAUCAGAAAUCCUGUAUUCCAUCAACGGACCAAACACAUUGAUGUCAAAUAUUACUUUGUUCGCGAGAGACAAGAAGCUGGGGACAUUGACGUCUCGUAUAUCUCAACAAAUGAUCAACUAGCAGAUCCUCUAACAAAAAUUCUUCCUAAUCCACGAUUUUCUAUCCUACGGGAGUUAAUGGGAAUUUUACCUGUCCCAUUAGAGCACAAUUAAUUUUCUUCUCUAAUUCUUUAGAUUAAAACUUACAUCUGUUCGAAGGAUACUCAGACUGCCCUACAUCCCAUUAGAUGAAAUAAUGAGAAGAAACCUUGCAACAAUAAUUUACUUAAUUUUAUUUUUGUCACUGAUUUCUUUUUCAUCUUCAUACAUGUUUGAGAGGGAGUGUUGAGGGAAAACAAACAUGUAAAAGUAAACUGGCCACCAGGUGGUACCAACCACCAGGUAGCACUGACUUAUGUAGGCUAACUAGAAGUAUCUUAGGAUACUGUUUAGCUACCUCCUCUCUCUCUCAUCUCUUGUCACUUGUGUUAGUAACGACGUAAAUCUAUUCUCUCGUCACGUCACUGCCAAAUACAAGUGUCAUAUUUUCUACAUUAUCUGGUAUCUGUCCUUAUCUUUGUUCGUGUGUUUCCUGAUUUUCGGCAACAGCCGCAAAUGGAACCGGGCCAAACCCGAAGAGAACUAGGCUCCACCCCUUUCAAGGGCAAGAUGUGGGGGAAACCGGCGAAAAGCAGGAAAACGGUUUGCGUUUGAAGAAUUAUUACAGGACAACAACAAAAAACACUUAAAAAAAAUACAACUAACAGUUCUAAAAACGCUUUGUUAUUUAACAAAAAAAUUAUAAAAAUCGGGGCUGUGAUUGCAUAGUAGUUCUUGACCUACUGUGCAAAUUUGAAUAAAAUCGGAGGUUUCAUCGCGCCACCGAUUUGUGGAGUUGGCGCGGAUUGACCCAUCAACCCUACUCUACUCUCCAGAUUUGCUUCGCACUCACCUCAAUGAAUGCAUAGCGAAAGGUUAUCUUUCUCCGUUUCCUUCAACUAUCUGUCGCAUUAAGAGAGCUCGAAAAGAGUCAGUUCUUUCCGAGUCGGUCUUUUGCCAAUGUCGUAGAACAUCGUACAUGUUACCAGCAAAAGGAUGGACCAUGGUGGAAUGUGAAAUUUGCAAGGAAUGGUUUCAUUCGAUGUGUGUUGACAAUUUCCCUGAAAAUGAGAAUGAAACAUGGUUAUGUAAGUCUUGUAAAUGAUAAAUGUAAUAUCUUUGUAAACUUUUGUUGGAAUGAGAAGAUGUAGCUGCAUACUCAGAGCAAUGCUUGCACAUUGUACAAAAAGUAUUUGCCAAUACCUUUCUUACUGUUUAAACUUCUCGUCACACUUGUUCUAUGUUAGUCAAAGUCAAACACCUGUAGGGGAGAACGGGGUCAACUUGGACACGGGUCAUAUUGGACAAAGACCCUAAGUGCUACAUGUUAUGAAAAAAAAAAUUUUUUUUUUAAUUUUUGUAUA